CAAAGAGACCGCGAAACCGUUAGGAGGGAAACGAAUGCAGCCCGAUGGGCUUUGAUUGGGUUCAGGGGCGGUGGUACCCGUCUAAGCGKUAGUUCGAAUYUCGACCUUUCGCUCGCUGACGGUCGUCGCUCUGCAUUCCCGUUUGAUAGCCGGCCAACGUCGGUUCGAUCYGGUUCACGCGGACRGUCGGGRAGGUGCCUCAAUGCGUCGCUUCUGCKUUSGCRGGRARRAYUWWGAGCCGUUUGUUCGGCAGCCGGACGUUGCGGACCGAGGAGACGUGUGACGCCUCRCACCGGGCAGUGCAGGCUUGCCGCCCCGGCGGCGGGCCGGAUCUCUUCUGAUCGUUAGGUGGGCGCUGCUGGGACUGUCMGUCAGUGCCAGCUGACGUCCCGUCCUCUCGGUCGGGAGCUGGGUCACGCCUUGCGCUGCAGUCGCUGGCUAAAGAAAGGCUGCAUUCGA
rnacentral:sRNA from 1 species